UCAUGUCUGGCAACAACGGAAAGAAUAGCCAGAAAAUUGCCACACGAUUGUCCAAACGUAAGAGAUUUUCUUAUGAUGUCUUUAACGCGAAAUGAUCUGCCAGUCUCCCGCUGGGCAAUUUUCUGUUGGGCAGUAACAAGAAGAAUUUCAGCUAUAGUGCGCAAAUAGUGUCUAUUAUCCUUUAUCUGCUUUGCGUGCUCAGCGUCCUGAAGUUCAGCAACAGAUUGGAAUUUACCAGAUUUGAUAUCCAGAUUUGAUUUGCGGAGCAGUUUCCCGAAGAAAUUGAGAAGAUUCG